rnacentral:rRNA from 1 species
AACGUAGGGGGCCAGCGUUGCUCGGAAUUACUGGGCGUAAAGGGUCUGUAGGCGGUGCGGCAAGUCGGAAGUGAAAUCUCAGGGCUUAACCCUGAGGCUGCUCCCGAAACUGCUGUGCUCGAGUGCGAGAGAGGUCAGUGGAAUUGCAGGUGUAGCGGUGAAAUGCGUAGAUAUCUGCAGGAACACCCGUGGCGAAGGCGGCUGACUGGAUCGCAACUGACACUGAGGAACGAAAGCUAGGGGAGCAAACAGG